CUAGAUUUCCAUAUUGUGCAACAGCUGGGUGAAUGCCAGUCGCGUCCUGACCUGAGCUGGGUUUUGUUUGCAUUUCUCCUGCAAGUGAGUUUUUAUAACUUCCAUUUCUUCUAAUCUCAUGCUUCAGGAGCUGGCCGCUGGGAGAGAGAUCGCGUGAGGCAAGAAACUCCCUUAUGUAUGUGCUGGGAUUUCAAAACCCAGCAUGGAUGGUGCACUGGAGAGCAAAGCUGACUGGAGGUGACCCAGGAGAUGCCUUUAGUCUGAUCUGAGGAGGAAGGGAGCUGGAAAUCCGAUGUCCUUUGAAAGAGGAGCAUAACUCCCACUGGCCUUGUCCAUGGAGAUGGGGACACUGAGAUGACUGAGCACUGUUAUAACUCUGGGUGCUCCCCAUUUGAGUGUCCUGGCUGCUUGUUCCACCCUGUAGACAGUGACCUGGAGGGGUGCAGAGAAAUGGGAGAAGAGGAAGGACACCUUCUGAGGAGCAUCAUUUCAGAUCCAUGGGCUGUGCACCCAGUGUGUUUCUGAGGAGCUUCAUUCUCACCUACAGGUCAUAUUCAGGCACACAUAUCAUCCCUCCACUGCCCAGAGACCGUGCCAGAUGCCACCAGCUCCACCAAAGUGAAGGAGAGCCACUGGACUGCAGUGAACUUCCCCACAGCAGCAGGUGAGGAUGGAGGAACAACACUGUUGAAAAGGCCUGUGGACAUCCUGAGACUGGCAUGUCUGCAAAUUGGAGCAAGGAGACCUCCAAGUUGGAAUGGUUUCAUACAGGGAAUGGUUUGAAGUUCCUAUACCAGAAGUUUGGCAGAG
rnacentral:lncRNA from 1 species